rnacentral:lncRNA from 1 species
CCUGACUGUUGCUGCUCUGUGUGUGUGUGCGUGUUUUUUCUAGGAUUAUGGGAGACUAAAGCUAUCUCAGUAACAGGAAACAAGGGCAGCUCUAUCACAGUAACCUGCUCUCACUCCAACGCCUACUACAAUGUCAAAUAUUUCUGCAAAGGACAAUGCACAGAUAAAGACAUCCUCAUAAACAGCACUACCAUUUCAAAUAAAAAAUACAAAAUUGAAGAUAAAGGAAAUACAUUCAGUGUCACUAUCUCUGAUCUGAAAGAAGAUGACUCUGGAACUUACUGGUGUGGAAUUGAACGAGUUGGUUUGGACACAUAUACUCAAGUAACCCUUACAGUUUUAGAGACGGUGGUGUAUACUGGAGUAAUUCUUGGUGUCGUGAUGCUAGUGCUGGGUGUGGGCCUUCUGAUUUUCUUCAGACAUCGAAACAGUAACAUCAGCACAUCAUCUGGAUGGUACUAUGACCUAGUGUUCAGGUCCUGUCAAAAACAAGAUGCCUGCCAUGACAAGAACGCUUCUCCAUCCAAGGAGGAUCAAGAAACAGAUGGUGGAACUAAGAGCGCCAAUCAGCAUCAAGAUACAUCAGAGCCUCAGAAGGAAUCAGGCAAUCUCAUCUACACGACUGUUACCUUCACAAAUCAAACAGAGUCCAGCAUGGUUUCAUCCCACUGUGUAGCAUCUAUAAAAUCAUCCUCUAAGCCAAAAUCGACAGAAGAAUCUACAAUCUAUAGCAACAUCUCAACUCAGUGCUGA